rnacentral:rRNA from 1 species
UUUGGAGGCAAUACCACCCAGAUCCUGGUAGCUAAGCAGGGUUGGGCCUGGCCAGUACUUGGAUGGAAAACAGUCUGAGAAUACUGGGUGCUGUAGGUU